ensembl:processed_transcript Gm10860 predicted gene 10860
AGAGACUCAGAGAGAGAAGACAGACAGAGACAGAGACAGAGUCAGAGACAGACCAGAAAAAAACUGGUCUAGUUUAAGGAACUUGUCUAUGCAGUUGUAGGCUUACAAGUGUGGGAUUUGUGUGGCAGAGCAACAGGUGGGAAGCAGAAGCAAGAGUUGAUGAUAAGAAUCUUGAGUAAUGAUUUCUUCUUUUCUCAGAAACCUCAGUGUUUGCUCUAAAGGCUUUCCAAAUGACUGAGGGAACUCUCUCUCAUUCUCUCUCUCUCUCUCUCUCUCUCUCUCUCACACACACACACACACACACACACACACACACUCCUCACUGGGAUGCGUCCCUUCACUGAACGCCAUCUGACUACAGGUGUUACAAGUACCUUUAGGGAAUCACCCCAGCCAAUGUUGACACUGCUCCCUGGACAGGUUGUCAUUUAAGAUUCCACAUAUUGCUGGAUUGGUGCUGUUAUCAUGGUGUAGUUUGGAAGAGGUUCUGUCACUUCAAGCCUGUAACUACACCUUCAUUUGGACUUAUUUUGCUAAGUCUCUUGCUUGCUGUUAUUGUCACCAGAGGAAAACCUAGAAGCCGAGGAGGAGUUGUAAGAAAAGAGGAACGUGUGGCUCUUCAGAUAAGCACGCGUGAAUGUUUAUCACGGGCUAAGGGAGGAGAAACAAAAACACAGUGAGCUAAAUAGUUGUUGUGUCUGACUUUUCACAUUCGUGGUUUUUACUCAAACCUUACCACAAUCUCGACGGCACAAGGACCUUGGCGUAAAGGUCUCCCCUCCACUUUUCCAGACAAGGGAAACUGAAAUUUAUGAUCUCAACCCACAGUAGACCACCAACCUCAGGACUUCCAUGCAUCUGACACCAGCAGAGCAAAACAGUCCUAUGAAUCUGGGGAGGAUGAUGAAAGAAUCUGACCUAUGGACACAUGGCAGAGGCAUGCAGAAAACUGGUAUCACCACAUCUCUUCCUUAUUUCAUCAUCUUGAUCUCAUACUUCAAUUUGAGCAAAAGUUUUGAUAAGUUUUCCUUAACCAGAGGAGAAGACACAUCAAUUUCCAAUGCUAGAAGCCUAACCAAGAACCCCAAGCUAAGUCAUUGGAAUCAAAGAGAAGACACCUGGAAAAUCAUGACAUCCUAUUGGCAAGCCAAGCAAGUCUAGAUGCAUCUCCAGGACCACACACAUUUUCAAGAGUCUACCACUGUUAGCAACUACUGCAAGGUUUUCCCUGCUAAGAACUAGGGUCAGUUUGUGUAGUGACUGUCAAUGCUUCAUGAGGAACACGAGACCAAGAUGGCGGCUCUCUGCCUUCCCAAAUCUGUCCAACAUGGCCGCUUGGGGGCGCAACUCUCCCCAACAAGCUCAGAGUGCUUCCUUCAUAAUUGGUCCAUCGGAAUAAGUAGUUUUGUGCUAUGAGAAAGCAGUUCUUCUUCCGCUUUACAUCGGGGGAACAACAAGUCCUGUCAUGGCUGCAAGAAAAGAACAACACAGGAUUGAAACAUCAAGACUUUUUUGGUGAAACUGAUCACAGAGAGGGGAGGCAGGAGUGGGGAUGAUAGACCCUAAUACAACCCAGGGAGAUGGCGAGGUGUUCAUAUGCGAGUGCAUUUUCUCCAGGAUUGGGUUAACAGAAGCUUUGGUGCUAGCAACCUAUAUUAUCCUUGUUUGGCAGGUGCUUACGAUUUCUGUAUGUUGAUGGGUCAUCUUGGAACGACGGAAGUAAACAUGUAAACUAAAUUGUGAUAGACAUGUCCUGCAUCACUAGGUGGAACCAGUAGAAAAACCCAGAUGCUGAACCUGCUGGGUUCCUAGGCAUCAGUUAUAAAAAACCAGGCUUUUCUCUCCAUCCUUAGGGUCUUCAUGAACAUUGUACCCUCAACUGGAUUAGUGCU